GACGAACGCUGGCGGCGUGCUUAACACAUGCAAGUCGAACGGAAAGGCCCUGCUUGCAGGGUACUCGAGUGGCGAACGGGUGAGUAACACGUGGGUGAUCUGCCCUGCACUUCGGGAUAAGCCUGGGAAACUGGGUCUAAUACCGGAUAGGAGCCAUUUUUAGUGUGAUGGUUGGAAAGUUUUUUCGGUGUAGGAUGAGCUCGCGGCCUAUCAGCUUGUUGGUGGGGUAAUGGCCUACCAAGGCGGCGACGGGUAGCCGGCCUGAGAGGGUGGACGGCCACAUUGGGACUGAGAUACGGCCCAGACUCCUACGGGAGGCAGCAGUGGGGAAUAUUGCACAAUGGGCGCGAGCCUGAUGCAGCGAAGCCGCGUGGGGGAUGACGGGCUUCGGGUUGUAAACUCCUUUCGCUAGGGACGAAGCUUUUUGUGACGGUACCUAGAUAAGAAGCACCGGCUAACUACGUG
rnacentral:rRNA from 1 species